rnacentral:lncRNA from 1 species
AAGUACACGUAUCCUUCGGAUACCAAAGGACUUGUCAAUUGAUCAUAUACUAAUUGUUCAUAAAAAAAUUGCUUCUAGUCAUGAUGUAACCUCAGAGGGAAAAUUUGUACAUGCUAACAGACAAAUUGCAAAUUUUGCAAAGCUUAACUUCAAAAUAUAAAAAUAUGGAACAAAGGUCGUCUAUAAACGUAAUUUAUUUGUGUUUUUAAAUGUUUAUUGUUCGUAGAAAGUUAGUGUGCACAUGCUUAUGCUAACCUCUCAAAUUCACUAAAUGUUAUUUGUCUAUAAUUUGCAUCAAGAAAUGCAAAACGGGUUCUUAUUGCUGAGAUUGGCUCACAAAGAGGAGAUUCAGAGAAUAUUGAAGAUAAUUCGCAUAUUGCGGAUGAAAACAUGGAUUUUUCUUCUCUACCAUCCUCAGAAAAAGUAUAUGUGGAAGAAAUUGAAGGUUCCAAAGAUUUAUUAUUGAUUCAGGGGAAAUAAUAUCUUAUCCAUUGGCUUCAAGAGGAGAUUAUAAAUAAAACUUGUCAAAACUUAUGAAAAAUCCAAAAGUUUCUGUCAAAUCGAAAAAAGAAGUUUUAGAGCCCAUUGCUUACUACUCAUUGUUUUGGAAUGAGGUUCUUUAGAGCAUAACAGACGAAUUUGGACUACAAAAAAUUGUUUUUUUAAUGCUUCUCAAGAAAAAUGGGAUCCAUCUACCCACAUAUAGAAGUACACGUUUCCCUAAGAUACCAAAGGACUAGUCAAUUGAUCAUCCGCUAACUAUUCAUAAAAAACUUGCUUGUAGUCAUGAUGUAACCACAGAGGGGAAUUUUGCACAUGCCAACAAACAAAUUACAAAUUUUGCAAAGCCCAAACUUCAAAAUAGAAAAAAAUAUGGCACGAAGCUCAUCUAUCAACUUAAUUUAUUGUGUUUUUUAAAUGUUUAUUGUUCAUGUAAAGUUAAUGUGCACAAGCCUAUGUUAAUAUCUCAAAUUCACUAUUUGUUAUUUGUUUAUAAUUUGAUCUUUUUGUGAAUCAGUUCUUUUGAUGAUUCGCUCUUUUAAAGAUUCGGUCUUUUGAUGAUUCAGUUCGUUUGUGUCCACGAACGUGGCCAGAAGUUAUCCCCUGUGUAGUUUCGCCCUAGGCAGUUCCGCCCUGCAGAAGUUUCGCCCUCAUAUACAAAUUUUAUACCAUAAAUUGUAUCUUCCACAUACGAUUUAAGGUUUUCCUUUACUCUAACUUGAAGUCCUUUGUAUUUAAUUAUUAAAUUAUGGCAUUUGAGUAAUUAAUAUGAAAUCAUUGUUGUUUCUGAUUAUAAUGAAUUCUAAUCAUUAUAUAUUUUCUAUUUUAAAUAUAUUAAAAUUGAAUUAAAUGCACUCAUUUUACAAUACUGAAUGCUAAAAUGCAUGACAAAUGACUUUAAAUGGGGGGAGACCAAUUUUUUCCUGGGCAAGACUAUCUGGGGCGUAACAUUCUAGAACCGUCUGCUAAUUAUAAAGCACUGAAAUAUGAAGAAAUGAACUACCGUUUUAUAUUUGAAUAUAUUCAUAUAUAAUAAUCAUUUAAAAAAAAUUCAGAGUGAAUAUAAAUAUUUUUAUUGAAGUUGAGUGAUAUAUUUUAUAUAUUUAGAAAUUACGGUAUAAACGAACGAAUUACUCAUGAUGCCACUGAA